rnacentral:rRNA from 1 species
CACGUAGGGCGCGAGCGUUGUCCGGAAUUAUUGGGCGUAAAGAGCUCGUAGGCGGCCUGUUGCGUCCGCUGUGAAAGCCCCGGGGCUUAACCCCGGGUCGGCAGUGGAUACGGGCAGGCUAGAGGUAGGUAGGGGAGAAUGGAAUUCCCGGUGUAGCGGUGAAAUGCGCAGAUAUCGGGAGGAACACCGGUGGCGAAGGCGGUUCUCUGGGCCUUACCUGACGCUGAGGAGCGAAAGCGUGGGGGAGCGAAUAGG